rnacentral:rRNA from 1 species
UACAGAGGUCCCGAGCGUUGUUCGGAUUCACUGGGCGUAAAGGGUGCGUAGGCGGUCGGGUAAGUCUGAUGUGAAAUCUCACAGCUUAACUGUGAAACUGCAUUGGAUACUAUUCGGCUUGAGAGUUGGAGGGGGGACUGGAAUUCUCGGUGUAGCAGUGAAAUGCGUAGAUAUCGAGAGGAACACCUGCGGCGAAGGCGGGUUGCUGGGCUGACACUGACGCUGAUGCGCGAAAGCUAGGGGAGCGAACGGGG